rnacentral:rRNA from 1 species
UACAGAGGGUGCAAGCGUUAAUCGGAAUUACUGGGCGUAAAGCGUGCGUAGACGGUUACAUAAGUCGGGUGUGAAAGCCCCGGGCUCAACCUGGGAAUUGCAUUCGAGACUGCGUAGCUAGGGUGCGGAAGAGGGAAGCUGAAUUUCCGGUGUAGCGGUGAAAUGCGUAGAUAUCGGAAGGAACACCAGUGGCGAAAGCGGCUUCCUGGUCCAGCACCGACGUUCAGGCACGAAAGCGUGGGGAGCAAACAGG